rnacentral:tRNA from 1 species
GGAGAGGUCGCAUAGCCCGGUCUAGUGCGUUCGUCUUGAAAACGAAUGUCCUCGCAAGAGGACCGUGGGUUCGAAUCCCACCCUCUCCG